UUUCGUAGGAAAAUUAUAAUGUCUUUACUUUUAUUUUAUGGAACGGAGAACACCAGUGCAUAACUCUAACAAUAUGGGAGCCAUUGCAAAUUUUGAAAACAUAAGCUCUCUCGAAUAAGAAUUUGCUAGCAUCGAGGAUUCAAAGGGACACAGAACUUCAAUGUCCUUCCUUAAGAAGGGGUGUGUGGAGAAUAAAUGAAAUGGGGGCCAACACUUUUGAGAAGGAUUUGGUUUGCGGCUGCGCAGAAUAACCUACAAAGUUUUUCCAUUGAUAUUAAAGGUUGUAAUUGAAGACUGGAAGAAUUGGAAGAAGCAGAGCACAUUCCAGAGCUGUAAAUCCAAAACUCAGAGUAGAAUCCAAUAUUUUGUAAAAUGCGAGAUCUACAAGCGCAAGUGUUUGUAUAUGAUAAUCUGGUUCAGACAUAACAAGGAAUUUGCAACAAUAUUGCCAGGUUAAAAUUUCUUCUGGAGUAGAAUAUAUUUGACGUUUAUAAUUUAAAAGGUGUUUUAGAAACUUUUUCCUCAACAAUUGCCAACUGUAUAUAUGUGUGCGUGGAGAUGCCAAGCCCAGUGAUUAUGGUAGCUGACUUGCGGUCGUGGGAUCGCGGUUUCGAUUACCAGGCCGGGCAUGGGGAAUUUAUCUGGAACCCUGUGCCUAGGAAGCAAACUUCUUAAGACGCGUCCACACAGAAGGAUAGAUAGAUAGAUAGAUAGAUAGAUAGAUAGAUAGAUAGAUAGAUAGAUAGAUAGAUAGAUAGAUAGAUAGAUAGAUAGAUACGCUGACUGUGCGACAAAUUACAAUAGAAUGGUGAGAGUGGAAAUAGAUCUACGUUAAACACUCAAAGAAAUAUAAUGCUAUGAAUGGAGCUUGUGUUUGGAUUAGGAUUAUUACCUAACAAGUAGAGCUACAUAAAGUUUAAGAGGACAACAAGAAAACAAAUAGUUGGUAUUUCAGAUAUUCACCAGGAGCGAUUCAGUUGUUGAUAAUCAAUUGUUAGUAAAUAUUAAAUCGAUCAUCAGCUACAUCUUCAGGCAUGGAUAUUCAUUUGUCUGUGCGUGAGUGUUUAUAUGAAUACAUGAAUGAAUGGAAUGGUUGAGUAUAACUUCCUGUGUGCGUAAAUACGAAUUUCCUUCAACAAAGUAAAAAAUACUUGUAUAUGCGUCCUGCAUGCAAUAAUUCGGUCAUUAGUAUGAAUGAAUGGGUGACCAACUCUAAUGCAUAUUGUUCUAAGCAAUGUAAACUAAUUCAUUAUUGUGAAGCCCACAUUGAACUUGAUAAGCAGGGAUACGUUCAAAGUCAUUCUCUCACACUAGAAGCCAAGUGUUACUUUUAUUUUUCUCAGGUAUAAUGUACAUUAUUUACAUUAUUUACAAUUGAUGGAUAUUUGUCCUCAUCUUGUUUGUUGUUAACACAACGUUACGUCUGAUAUACCCACCUGUUUUUCAUCAGUUGUCUUGGGAGAAAUUUCGAACCUGGGUUCUCAUUCCUAAGAUAUUUUUCGAUGUUGUUGUAGUUGUUCUAAUAAUAAUAAUAAUAAUAAUAAUAAUAAUAAUAAUAAUAAUAAUAAUAAUAAUAAUAAUAACAUCGAAAAUACCUUAGGAAUGAGAACCCAGGUUCGAAAUUUCCCCAAGACACCUGAUGAAAGCUGGGGGGUAUAUCAGCCGAAACGGUCUGUUAACAACAAACAAGAUGAGGAUAAAUAUCCGUCAAUUGUAAAUAAUGUAAAUAAUGUACAUAAUCCCUCAUCUCUUAAAUAUAGAACAGGUAUAAUGUACCACGUGGUAUAUUAUCCAUUGUGUAAUAUUUUAAAGAGGUGUAAUGAGUUGGAGAUUUGAGUUCCUAGUUCUAAAACUUUGCGCAACUUCUAGAUUUCGUUCGUUGGCUCUUGGUGUAACAGUAGUAUUCUCAAAUAUUGUCUAGAUAUAUGUCUAUUUGCAGGAGAUCGAUCAUACAGUAGCAAGAUUGUAUUUGUUAGAAGUGACUGAAGGAAGAAACUAUAUGUCAUUUGUUUCAUAUUAUCGUUUCGUUUUAUGCAACUGAAAUAGAAAAAAAAACAUUGAAAAUUAAACAAAGAAAAAAAUCAAUCCUGAACAGAAUGGUUAGUUGUUAAGCGAGAAGCCUUAAGCAUUUGUGUGUGCGAAAAAUAAAAAGAAUACAGAUUGUGAGCUUUCUCGAAGACAUUGCAAGGACAAUGACAGAAAAAUUAUUUUAUUUGGGUAUAAAAUCUUUGGUUUAUCAAGAGAAAUAGAAUUACAAAAUGAAGGAAUGGCAUCGGUGUGUUUGAAGUUGCAGAGUUAGUUCUAAACAGGAUUGUCAUCUCCAUACUGCCGAAAUCCCUGUCCCCACCUUUAUGAUUCAUAAACUAUGAAACCAUCUAAUAAUACCCUUUUCCCCAAAGGCAGCACUAUACGUAAUCAAUAAACUCCUGUGAAGGAGGGAAGGGUUCAAACUGCUACCAGGAAUAUUCUAGAAAUUUUUAAUAUUUAGUGCACUUACAAUACAAACUAGAUACCUGCUACUUGUUGUGGGCUAUUCUGGAAUGAUUACUCCGCAUUGCUACUUCAUUCAACUACACAUAGAAAUAUAAAACACCUGUACACUACUAAGUUAUUGCUGUCCAAGACUUUUAAUCAAAUAACACACCUUGGCCUAAUACCAAUUUGUCUAUUUCAAUUCUAUAAUUAUUAAAAGAACAUUAUUUUCAGAAACAAAACCAAUUAGAGUAAGAGCUGCAUCAACGACAAUUUUUUCUGAUGCGUACUUCACUGUUUCCCUAGCUACAUCCAAUGAAUGAAUAUAUUUCAUAGCACACAAUGAAAUCCUACGCUUUCCAGUUGAUAUUUUCCUUCCUUUAAUUGUGCUGCAAUUGACUAUACUGAAAUAAUAUGACUGUUGCAUGUGUUACAUCAGCGCCCACUAUUGUAGCAACAUCAUGUUGUGCGCAAAAACAUGCUGCCAUAAUCUUACCAAGCGACAAAAGCUUUAUCUGGCUAAGCUGCUCAACAUAAAUUGGCCUCGGGACAUAACAGCAAUUGUCCUCCCUUCUGAUUUAUUUAUUUAUUUCAUCAUCAUCAUUGUCAUCAUUAUCAUCAUCGUCGUAAUCAUCAUCAUCAUCAUCAUCAUCAACAUCAACAUUAUUAUUAUUAUUAUUGUUGUUAUCGUUGUUGUUGUUGUUUUUAUUAUUGUUUUUACUGCUAUUUCCAUAGUUUUUCAUUGGCUACUCUCAGUGUUUCAAGAAUUUAGCAAGCUACAGGCAUUGCAGUAGUGCUAUUAUGUUUUUGAAGCAUCAAUGUCAUACAUAGCUGAAUAUGAACGAUCAUCAUUAUCAUCAUCAUCAUCAUCAUCAUCAUCAUCACCCCUACUACUACUACUACUACUACUACUACUACUACUACUACUGUUAUCAUUAUUAUUAUUAUCAUAUGACGGCUAGCUGGCAGAAUCGUUAGCACGCCAGGCGAAAUGCUUAGCAGUAUUUCGUCUGCCGUUAUGUUCUGAGUUCAAAUUCCGCCGAGGUCAACUUUGCCUUUCAUCCAUCCUUUUGGCGUCGAUUAAAUAAGUACCAGUUACGCACUGGGGUCGAUAUAAUCGACUUAAUUCGUUUGUCUGUCCUUGUUUGUCCUCUUUGUGUUUUGCCCCUUGUGGGUAGUAAAGAAAUAGGUAUUUCGUCUGCUGCUGCCUUCUAAUUUCAAAUUCCGCCGAGGUCGACUUUACCUUUCAUCUUUUCGGGGCUCAAAGAAUAAGUACCAGUUGAACACUAGGGUCGAUGUAAUCGACUCAUCACCUCCCCCAAAAUUGCUACCCUUGUGGCAAAAUUUAAAACUAUUAUUAUUAUUUUUAUUAUUAUUAUUAUUAUUAUUAUUAUUAUUAUUACUAUUAUUAUUAUUAUUAUUAUUAUUAUUAUUAUUAUUAUUAUUAUUAUUAUUAUUAUUAUUAUUAUUAUUAUUAUUAUUAUUAUUAUUAUUUUGCACAGCUUUUAACGCUGGAGAUGUACUGCAGUGUCAGCUGUUCACUAACAGUGAACUAAGGUAAUACCUCUUAUUUUUCGAGCACCAUUCGCAGGAGUGACUGUGUGGUAAGUAGCUUGCUUACAAGCCACAUGGUUCAGGGCUCAGUUCCACUGCGUAGCACUCUUCUGCUAUUGCCUCGGGCCGACCAAACCCUUGUGAGUAGAUUUGGUAGACGGAAACUGAAAGAAGCCUGUCGUAUAUAUGUAUGUGUGUGUAUAUGUUUGUGUGUCUGUGUUUGUCCUCCCAACAUCGCUUGACAACUGAUGCUGGUAUGUUUACGUCCCUGUAACUAGCGGUUUGGCAAAAGAGACUGAUAUAAUAAGUACUAGGCUUCUAAAAAAUAAGUCCUGGGGUCGAUUUGCUCGACUAAAGGCGGUGCUCCUGCAUAGCCGCAGUCAAAUGACUGAAAGAAGUAAAAGAGAAAAGAGUAUUGAAACAGUUCCAAGCAGUGCUGUUUUCUGCAAGUGCUCCAUCCUUAUUGCAUCCCCUAUUUGUUCCACGUACUUCUCGAGAUUUUUACUCACUGUUCCCAGGGCUCCGACAAUUAUUGGUACUACGGCUACCCUUUUCAUCGACCACAACUACUUAACUUCCCAAGCUAACCUGUCAUAUCUCUCGACUUUUUCUUUCUUCCUUACCGCAUACCUUGUUGUCAGCUGGGCGUGCUAUGUAGCUUGCUUUCAUUCUCAAUUAAGACUAUGUCCGGCUUCCUAUUCUAAUUAUUAUUAUUAUUAUUAUUGAGUGAGAGAGCAGUGCAUGCCAUCAAAGUGACACUGGGGUAAAAUAUACGAAGCCCAAUAUACACAUCAUGACUACCCGUCUGAUAAAGGUACACCAGGCACAUGCAUCACAACCAUAUGUGCGCGACAUGGUGAUCUCAUAUCAAGAUAAACAGCACAUGACCUUGCAGGUGGGGCCCAGUUAGAAUUUUCUUCAGGUUGAGUAGCCCAUCCCGCUCAAAAGGUCUCUGAAUAAGGGUUGUUUAAGGAUGUUGAAAGAACCACCCAUGUUUCCAGAGGUGAAUUAUUCAAACCCCAAAGAAUCCCCCCAGCACAUGGCCAUGAUGCUCCCCCACUACUUCUGCUCGUGAUCAGAGAUGCACAUAUCGUCAGCCACUAAGGGACAUGCUCAACUUGUUAAGGUCAAACAACUGAUAAGCAAAUCUGUGGUAUUGAGCAGAAUAUUUGCUGUAGCCCAUCUUUUAUACCAAGACAAAACAAUGUACAUGAUAACACUUCCAAUCAGUUAAGAUCAGAAGCCAUGAGAGCCACUGCCUGGUACUGCAUCAGGGCAUUUAUUAUUAUUUAUUAUUAUUAUUAUUAUUAUUAUUAUUAUUAUUAUUAUUAUUAUUAUUAUUAUUAUUAUUAUCAUUAUUAUUGUUGUUAUUAUUAUUAUUAUUAUUGUUAUUGUUUUUGUUGUUGCUGUUGUUGUUUUCGCUGUUGUUGUUGUUGUUAUUUGCCCUCUGGUUAAUACAAUACCCGCAGUGUAGCUGCAAUGCAUUGCAUAAAUAUUGUUGUCAACAACAAGAAAUACUGGAUUUCACUUUUAUUUCUAUUUGAAAUUACGCUGAAAAAGUACCGGUGAGAGAGGAGGAAAAGAAAAAAUGCAGAGAAAUGGUGUAAGAGUGCAUGCAUACAUGUUUGUGUAUUUGUGUGUUAGAACACUCGUUCAUAUACGUCUAUAAUUAAAACAGGAUUUUUCUGAAUAAAUAUUAUGAAAUUUCAUUUUACUUAUUUAUGUUUAAUUUUCAAAUAUUUUGAACUGUAUUAAAGCAAUUACAUUCAAAUAUCAAUAAAAAUACUGUUAGGGAAAAAGAGAGAAGGGAGUGUCCACUGUCGCGUAAUAUUCCCUGUAGACUUCUGACUGAAAUAUAAAAAUGAACAGAUUAUUAGGGUGGAGCAUAAGAGCGAUAGAGCGAACGUACACACAAAAAGAGUAUUACAAUACAUUAAAAAAGAACACACACACACACACACAUAUAUAUAUAUAUAUGUAUACAUACAUAUAUACAUAUAGCGUUGGAUCCUUGUUGACCCAUUGCACGAAACUUCGACCUGACAAUCCAAACUUCGUAUCAAAUACUCGACGUGUUGGUUGAGCGCCAAUCUCGAUGUCAAUACUUGGGCUGCCCUACCUUUCUCCAAUGCCUCCACCAUUUAUUGUUAAUAAUGGCGCCUGUGAGAGCCUUCUUUUCUAAUCCGGUUCCUGUACUCCUCAAAGGUUAAAACCGACCUGUUAAUUUUCCAGUAGCCGGGGCCUUGUCUACAUAUCCUAUCUACAACCAGCUUACAGGACACAAAUUUGUGGUCGCUGUAGUUAACAAAGUGGAAUUGUGGACAUCUAGCUUCUCCUUGUCUUUCCGUCUAACUAAAAUUCUAUCUAAAUAAGAUCUAGAAGACCUACUCUUUACUCUUUACUCUUUUACUUGUUUCAGUCAUUUGACUGCGGCCAUGCUGGAGCACCGCCUUUAGUCGAGCAAAUAGACCCCGGGACUUAUUUUUUGUAAGCCCAGUACUUAUUCUAUCGGGCUCUUUUGCCGAACCGCUAUGUUACGGGGACGUAAACACACCAGCAUCGGUUGUCAAGCAAUGCUAGGGGGACAAACACAAACACACAAACAUAUACACACACUUAUAUAUAUAUAUAUAUAUAUACGACAGGCUUCUUUCAGUUUCCGUCUACCAAAUCCACUCACAAGGCAUUGGUCGGCCCGGGGCUAUAGCAGAAGACACCUGCCCAAGAUGCUACGCAGUGGGACUGAACCCGGAACCAUGCGGUUGGUUAGCAAGCUACUUACCACAAAGCCACUCCUGCGCCUAUCGCUAUUGACUUAGCAGUCACGUAUGAAAGGCACUUUCAUUUCUGACAUUUCAUUUCAUACUUAUCUAAGUAUCUAAGUAUGAUAAACAUUAUAUUAAAUUAGAAAUAACCAUCUUAUUUUCUUUGUCAGAAUAUUAAAAAGUUAGUACGAUGCGUUUCACACAAAUGCGCACGCGCUCGCACACACACAGACACCAUAUAUAUAUAUAAAAGGUUGAUUUUCCGCAUGAAAUAUAUUUACUCACAGGAAAUGUGUAAUUCAAUUUCAUACACUGGCGACUUACUUGUAAUUGUGCAAAUGCGUUCGUGGUGCCGAAGUCACCUUGAUGUAGGUAAGGACAAUUUCAUUUGCAUCCAGAUAACAUAUACACUCUAUUAUCUGUAUUGAGCAUACACAUUAGAAGAGACGCAAGUCGAAAUAUCUUACUGUUUCGUUGAAAUCCGUAUUUUUCUCAAAACUAUGAAGUACUGUUUAUGAAGAGCUUAAAUUGGAUUGCCAAGAUUUAGAUACAUUUCUAUACAUGUAAAAAUUCUGGCUUCAUUUUUCAAUAUUAGAAAAUAAUUUCAAGCAGUGCGUCCAUAGAAAGUAAAAACUAAAAAGAAUGCCAAAGAUAUACAAUCCCUAGUAUUAUAUAGAGUGAUUCAAAUACAUAUACAUUAAUACAUAUAGAAUAAUAUACACAUAUACACAAAAACGAACACAUACAUUGAUAUCUAAAAAUUGGUACGUUUUGUGUUAUUCGUUUUUGAUACGUUGGCAAAUUUUCUAUGAUUGCAAACUGAUAUUCCAAUGUUUACAUAUUGAUUGUGGCUCAAUUAGAACCUAAGUCCACUUUGAUAUUAUCUUAAAUCAGGAAUGGCUUCUAAUUCAUACAACAAAUUCCGACCAUUUUUAAGGAAUGAAAUAUACUGUGUGUCUUCAAAGCUAUCAAGUACCAUUUAUGAAAAGUUUAAAUUGGAUUGCAUAGGAAAAAAAUAUUUCAAUUCGUGUAAAGAUUUCUGAUGCAGAUAUUAAAAAAUAUAAGAAUCUAUUCUGGCUUUAUUUAUUUUCAAUAUUUGAAAAGAAUUUUAAGAAAUGCUUCCAAAAAAAAAAGAAAAAAAUUAAAAAACAUGGUAUGUGAAGAGAUAAUACGUCGCUAUACACACACUGUGAUUAUAGGCAAUAAUUUCAAGUACACAUAUAUAAAUAUCUGCUUAAAUACGUAUAAUUUGUAUGCGUAAGUGCAUAGCUAUCUAUGAAUUUAGGUACAUAUGUUAUAGAUACAUAUGCUAUAUAUAUAUAUACAUAGAUAGAUAGAUAGAUAGAUAGAUACAAAGAUACAUAGAUAAAUAAAUAGAUAGAUAGAUAGAUAUAGAUAUAUAGAUAUAGAUAUUAUGCAUAUAUAUAUUUAUGUGCAAAUGUAUAUGUAUGUGUGUAUAUAUAUGUUUGUAUAAAUAUACCUCAAUAUAUAUACAUAUAUAUAUGUGCAUGAAUAUAUUUGUAUUUAUAGAUAUAUACGUUAUGUAUAUGUAUCUAUAUAUGGAUGUUUAUACACGUAUGUGUGUGAAUAUAUAUAUAUAUACAUAUAUACCUUUAUAUAUAUAUAUAUAUAUAUGUGUGUGUAUAUAUAUAUAUAUAUAUAUAUAUAUAUAUAUUUAUACAUAUAUCUAAAGAUAUAUAUUUAUAUAUAUAUAUAUAAAUACAUAUACUUCUAUACACAUAUUCACAUGUAUUUUAUAUAUAUAUAUAUUAUAUAUCUUUAUAUAUAAUUAUACACACACAUAUAUAUAUAUAUAUAUCUAUACAUACACACAUAAAUAUAUAUAUAUAUAUAUAUGAGAUUGUGUGUACGUGUUGUACUUUAUCACUUUUGCUUCGUUAUGCUUCCUGGAGUGUAUGCAUUUCUUUGCUAAUGGUGCUAAUAUUUCUUUCUCACAAAAUUAUAUAUAUACACGCUAAAUAAAUUGAAAUGAAAAUAAUUCAUUUUUUCUUUCAAUGCUCCAUAGACACAAUGCAUAAUUUGAUGUGUAUACAUAUAUAUAUAUAUAUAUAUAUAUAUAUAUGAUAAAUGUGUGUCUGUUUUUACGUGUUUGCAUGCUUGUGCAUGAGUGUAUGUGUAUACACAGACAUGUCUAUAUAUAUGUACAUAAUCUAAAUAUAUGCAUAUAUAUAUAUAUACAUUCAUAUAUAUAUAUAUAUAUAUAUAUAUAUAUGCACAUACAUAAAUGCAUGCAUAUGCAUACCUACAUAUAUACAGACAUUCAUAGACAAACAUACGCACACACAAUCAUAUUCUAAGUCGACAAGAGAAAAUACAGCAUCAUUUCGAAUUUCUAAUUAUCUUUUUCUUCUUCAGUCGUUAUUUUCUCUCACUGAACGUAUACGUGUGUGUACUUAUACAUUUACAUAUGUGUGUAUAUAUGUAUAUAUAUAUAUAUACAUAUAUAUAUAUAUAUAUAUAUAUAUAUGUAUGUAUAUAUAUAUAUAUGAAUGUAUAUAUAUAUGCGUAAAAAAUCUUGCACGACAAAUAUAUAAACGUACUAUAUAUAUAUGUAUAUAUGUAUAUAUGUAUAUAUGUAUAUAUAUAUAUAUUUAUAUAUAUUUACAUCCCAUUGUACUGAGUUUUUUCAAGUGCUUUCCUCUUCUUUCUUCUCGCAUAGUCUUGUUUCUUUUUUCUUUUCCCCCUAAUGAAUUACACAUUAGCGAGGGAUUAGCUUAUUACUUUCGGGAAAGUCUAUACAAGUCCUCAUGGUAACUGCCAAACCUAAGGUAAGUUGCCAAUGGCGUGAAUCAUUAACAAUGUACACACACCCGCACUCACUCACACACUAAUACACAUACACACGCACGCACUCACACACAUACACACUCACGAUCACAAUUGUUUUGCGUACACCAGUUCCUCUUACAUGUUUGAACGCAUCAGCAAGUUAAGUGAAACCCUCAUUAGUAAAACAGAAUAAAACUAAAAGCCCCCAACGAUGAUUAUAUGUUAAUAUAUGCAUAUAUGCAUUUAACUGCUUAUACGUUACUGCAUAUAUUUGCAUAUCUGACAAAUCCAAAAAAGAAAAAAACAAGAUGCGACUUAGGUUUUAAUAGCGUAUUUCUGUAAAAUACCAACAGAAAAAUAUUGGAAAGCGACUGCUGUACUUCUUUCUAUAAGCUAGACGUGUAAAAGUUUUAUUCUAAUUCUAAAAGAACUCUUGAUGGAGAAGUUGGCUGAGUCGUUAGAGAGGUGUAUAAAAUACCCUAAGGUAUUUGUUUAUUAUGACGCUGUGAGUUCAAGUCUCAUCAGGGUCAACUUUAUGUUUCGACCUUUCAUUUUAUUUUUCUGUAUUAAAAAAUAAUGAAAAGUGUCCAGGACUUUAAUUACCGAAGUUGUUAGAGAGUCGGAGGGAUGUCUUAAAUUUUUAUUUACAUUCUUGUGUAGUCCCAGUUCAAAUUUUCUCCUUUAUUUAAAAUAUUUUGCACUGUUGAAAGUACUUACUACCGAUAGAUAGAAGCAAUAUUUAAAACAAAAAAAAAAUCAAUAGGGAUACAGUUUAAUGAGUUCGAUUGAAAGAUCAACUGCAACCAGUCUACCACUAUACACAUGUACUGAACACAUGUCGCAAGCGUGGACUGCGUUUUACAUCUUGAAUUAUAUUGAUUUUUGACUAAAAGUAUGUGUACCAGACUAGGAGAUAAAACUCAUUUUCAGUUGAGUAAGUUAGUUCGUUGAGAAAUGAUGUACCCAGCGUGGAAUUAAACUCAGGCCUUACAAUUGUUUGUCCAACAGCCUAAACACUUUGCAACAGAGUAACUCGUACAUUUAUGCACACACACGCUCCCCCCACACACACACAUUUCAAAUUUACAGAAAAAGAAAUGAUGUAGACAGGUGUAGGAACAGCGAGUAGGUGUAUUAGUUUAACGCUCGGGGAAAAUGGAAAAGCCUUUUACGUUUAGAGCCUACAAUCUUCGACAGAAAGGAAUAAGAGGAAACAAAUUGGAGAGAGAAUGAAAAAAAAACGGAGAGAGGAAAACUGUAUAGAGGUCAGCGGCACAACAUUGUAUGAGAACUGAUUGGAGGUUGAAAAUGCAUCCGGAUCAUAAAAUGGGUCUUUAUUUUAUUUCUUAAUUUAUUAUAAUAAAAACGCCUACCGGUUUCAAUAAUCUUUUAUUUAUAUUUACAUUUGAAAAAAAUAAAAAAUUGAAACUUGCAUAGUAUUUUUAUAAAUUAAGAAAUAGUACAAUUUGUUUUAAGACCCAAGGGCAGAAUUUAAAGUCGGAAGAAAUGCUGUUAAGCAUUUUGCACGGCCCAUUACAAACUCUGCCAUCUCAGAGCCUUAAUAAUAAUGAUAACGAUUUCAUUUAUGUGCAGCCAGAGCGAAGGAUGUGACAUAUAAUACAAACCAAGCAUAAAGUGCUGGAGUUUACAUACAAUAAAAUGAUAAAAUAUAUAAAUAAACAAAAGAAAAAUAAGUAUAGACGGUAUACAAUGAAAAGGAAGGGAAAUAAACAUAAUAUACAAAGGUUAAAAUGUUUGGAGUGAUGAUAGAGAUGUAGUCCUCCUGAUAUAGGAUGACUUCUAGGGAUAAUCGGGGAAACCCACCGUCCAAGAUCUCUCUGAACACCACGGGCAACUGCCCAACCCAUUUCCCUUUCUCCGACUUACUGGUCUACACUUAAAGAGGUACCAUCCGCUCUUGCCAUUUUCGCAAUAAUAAUAAUAAUAAUAAUAAUAAUAAUAAUGACCUGGAAAUAGAGGUAACCAGAAUGUGGAAUCUAAAAACAGAAACAAUUCCUAUCAUAGUAGGUGAAUUAGGCAUGAUAAAAAAAUAUUCAAACAAAUACAUAACAAAAACACCACUACUUACAAACACAUAUAACAUACAGAAAAUUGCACUACUGGGCACUGCACACAUCCUACGCGGAGCACUUUCCAUACAAUAACCAACAGAGCAUCACAACAAAUCACAGCACAUACCCAAGGCACACAGAGCUGCGCUCGGUAGUGAACUGAAAGCACGCUAUAAAAAUAUAACUACUGAAUAAUAAUAAUAAUAAUAAUAAUAAUAAUAAUAAUAAUAAUAAUAAUAAUAAUAAUAAUAAUAAUAAUAACAAUAAUAAUAAUAAUAAUAAUAACGAAAACAACAACAACAGCAAUAAUAAUAAACAAACUCCAGAAGAAGUCACCUAUGAACAAAACCCAGAAGGAGUCACGGAAAAUGAGAACUGGAAAAUCCUGUGGGAUGUAAUGAUCCAGUGCGAUCACCCGACCAGACUUAGGAAAUUGGACAUUAUUGUGGGGAAUAAAAAAGAAAUAACUUGUAUGACUAUCGAUAUAGCAUGCCCCAAUGACAACGGGAUCAAUGGGAAGGAAGAAGAAAAAAUUAAUAACUAUGACGAUUUAAAGAGGGAAAUACGAAGGUUGUGGUCAAUGAAGAGAGUAGACGUGAUACCAGUCCUAAUUGGUGCACUUUGAAGUAUCAGCACUCAACUACCAACAUGGCUGAAAAAUUUGAAGGUAGAACACCUACAAAAAUCAGCAUUACUUUUGAAAUGCAAGAAUUCUUUGCAGGAUUCUUGAAACAAGACCGGUAAACAAGCGUCACCAUAGUCUGCUGGCUGUGGACAGCUGGCACUUUCCAUCGUACCCAGCAAAAUAAGCUGUGAAUUUAGUGAACAGCUGACACUGUAGUACAUCUCCAGCGUUAGCUGUGCAAAAUAAUAAUAAUAAUAAUAAUAAUAAUAAUAAUAAUAAUAAUAAUAAUAAUAAUAGUGAUCCUUUCUCCGAUAUGCACAAAGACUGAUAUUUGGGAAAAUUGGGCUAGUCGAUUUCCUCGAUUCCAUGGUUCAAAUGGUAUUUAUUCUAUCAUUCUCAAAAGGAUAAAAAGCAAAAUUUGAACUCGGAACAACUUUUGUCCGACACGCUAACAACACUGCCAAAUCACUACCUUUUAGUAGUAAUAUUUUGAAAUUUUACAAAAAAAAUCAUCACUUUUAGUUGAAGGUGGUUAUUUCAUACCAUCGACCCCAGUACUUAAAUGGUUUUUAUCUUAUCGGAUUCGGUGGGUGUAAGGACAAAGUUGGUUCCGUCCAAAUUUGAACACAACGUUAUGAAUCAAAAGAAAUACAGCGUGGCACGUUGUCGAUUGAGCUAACGAGUGUACCUGCUUAGACAGAGACCAAAAAAAAUAUAAUAAAAUAAAAUCAAGGACGUCAGCCACAACACCAAAAGCAGCCAUAACGAUACGUUGAUGAUGAUGAUGAUGAUGAUUUUAAAGAAUGAUAAUAAUAAGGAUGGUGAUGAGGAGUAGGAGAGGAAAUUAGAAAAUAACAAGAAAGAGAAGAAACAGGUAAAGAAGGAAAUAUAUGAUGGAGAUGAUAUACUCUUUCAAAACAAGAAAGUGGGGCUGUUUAUAGACCUUUGGACAUUUAUAGCUACUAUUUUAUGUUCAAUUUAUAUAGAAAGUGAUCAAACACGACUAUGUGUUGUUAUUUUGAAGUUUUAAAAAAUGAUGAUGUUAUUGAAGUUUUAAAAAAUUGAUGAUGUAACAAUAAUUGAUUGCAGUUUAUGCGAAAAAAAAAACCGGCCCAAAAAUUUUGAAGGGAGAGGGUUAGUCGAUUAAAUCGACUCUAUUGCUAUAGACUGCUACGUUGUUCUAUUGAUUACUGAAAGACGAUAAUCAAAGCUAGCUUCGGCAAGACUUGAACGCAAAACAUAAAUCGCCGGAAGAAAUAUUGCAAGGCUUGUCUUACAAACGCUUUAAACGAUUCUGCCAACCUUACUGAUGAUAGUAAUGACAGUGGAACUGACGGUUGCUGUAAUGUUGGUGUUGUUGCUGUUGCUAUCCUUCAUGUUGAUGAUGAUGAUGAUCGUUGUGCUGGUAGCGGUGUAGUAAAGGUGAUGUCAGCAGCAGUGGUGUUGGCGUUAGGGAUGAUGAUGGCAGUGGAAAAAGUUGUUUCGGUGGUGAUACACCGUGUCGGUGGUGGUGGUGGUGGUGGUGGUGGUGGGGUGCUGCUGAUAUUUGUGGUACAUGUGGGUAUGGUGGUAGUUGAUAGUGGGUGUUGUUGUUGUUGUUGUUGUUGUGGUGGUGAUGGUGAUGGUGUUGGUGGUGUUGUUGUUGGUGGUGGUGGCAGCAGUGUGUUAGACGUGGUGGUAGCGGUUGGCUGGUGGUAAGAACAGUAGAAAAGAGUGGAGGGUGACAGCGACGACAAAGCAGAAGGAGAAGGAGGAGAAGGAGGGGGAGGAGAAGAAGAAGGAGGAGGGGGAGAAAUGGCAGGAGAGAGUGAGGCUGUGGCUGAAUAUAAAAUGAAAAUCGUGCAUUCACGUAUUUAUUUAAUGUAUAUUAGUUGAUUAUUGUUUCGCUUUAUUUAUUUAUUUUUCCAAUCAUUUUAUAUUCUUUGGUUUUACACAGAAGUGUGUAUAAGAAUUAAAUUCCUCAUUACUCUUUGCAUUCCUCCAAGUGAAUGUGAAAAAUACUGAUUUGUAAAACAUUAAGCGUGAAGAAGUUCAUUAAAAAUUAUUUUCGUCGGAAUCGAACCAGAAUUUUGCAUGAAAACGCAAUGAGUAUGUGAAGUUAAUGAACUCAUUACAAAAUGUCUUUAGGAAAUUUCACUCGACUUAGUAACACGAAUUAAUAAACAUGCAGUUGUAAAAUAUGGUGAAAUACACGAUAAAAUAGAUAAACAAUCGAUAGGAUAAAAGUAGAGGAAAUAAAUAUAUAUAACAUAUAAAUGAAUAAAUAAAAAUUUACUUCAUGCAACUUUGAAAUGGAAAAGCAGGAAUAGCCUAAGAAUAUAUAUUAGUAGUCAAAGCGAUCACGUUAUUUCAUAAGCGAUAUGCAAAAUCUCCUCAGAAAGAAUCUUUUUUAGUAAUGUCACGAUCCCCCAAAUCAGAUUAUAAACUUCGUUCACCGUUCUAAGUCCAAACUUUCUCUAUCAAAUGCAUGAUGAAUCACAAAGAUGAACUUAAUGAAUAAGGACAUACAUGAUAUAUAUAUAUAUAUAUAUACAUACACACACAUAUUUAUAUAUAUAUAUAUGUCUGUGUGUGAAGAGCCAAGGGAAGUAAUGCAAAUGGGCCAAUUGCAUGAAUUUGCAUGAGUUAAGUGGUAAUGUACGAAAUGUCAUGCAGAAGAAGAAAAAAAUUUAAUUGAAACUUCCCUGUUAGAGAAACAAAACCUACAAAGUUGAAGCAAUUAUGGCUCUCGAAGAACAGGGAGAUAAUAUUAAAGAUUUUAAAAUUAAUCUCAGAUUCACUUGAUAUUCUCAGAGGAAGGAAGGACUGAUCUUUGUAGGUAAGGGUUAACUAAAAACACGAUUCGGGCUUUUAGGCAUCCCUUAGAAUUUUACGAAUUAAUUUAAAAUUAGAUACGAAUAAUUUGUACUCAGUAUAUUUUUGCAUAAGUAAAUAAAAUAAAAUAAAAUAAAAUGUGAAAUAAAUCAAAUGGGCUAUUUUGGAUAAAUUUAUAUUUGUUCCGAGGUACAUCUAAUGGCUACCCAGGGAUAAAACAUCAGCAAUGAGCUUUGGGUCUUUCAAAACCAAACCACUUCACCCAGUUUAUUGAGUUGGAGUUGAUCAAUUCCCAGUUUACGUUCCGCUAGCAGAAAAUCACCAGUCUGCCCACAUUAUUGAAAUCUAUCUUGUGACUUUCUUAACUUCUGAAAGUUCUCUCUCCUCUUCGAGAGUCGCCAACAAUUGUCGGUGGUUUUUUUUCUUUUUUUUUAUAAGAGGAUAUUUUCAUUAAAACAAGUACGUUUUGCUUAAAAAAUUACCCACACCCAUGCAAUUAGUCCAUUUCAUAGUAUUUUUACACCAUUCAAGGUUUUGACUUUUACAUCUGAAUAAUGGUUGUUUGGGUUUUCCGCGACAUUAGAAUACACCUCAGUUUUCAUUGCUCCAUUUAUAACAUAAUUUUCAAGUGCUCUGUUUGUCUCUCUCCCUCUCAUUCUCACACACUCUCUCUCUCUUUCUAUCUCUUCAUGUAUGUAUAUACUCGCUUGGUUAUGGUUGUCCACGGAACCCGAUGAUAAGCAUCUACUUCAUUUGUCGAUCCCUUGAUAAAUGCCGUUAGCUACUCUUUAUAAGCAUUUUCAGGCACCGACUGGAGACGUACAUUUUCCCGGAAGCUCUGCCUACAUAUCUCGCUUUGUAUUCCACUAAUAGUUCUGUGGCCGUUGUACCUGCAACUCAAAAGCACAGCCUUGUCGCACACUGUAUCAUUGAUACUACUCGAAAACUACGCUAAGGAUACACGUGAUUAUGGAAUACUCCACCACUUACACGUAAUAUCAGAAGCAGAUUAUUUGUUUGAUUUAACAACUGAAUAUUCGUCACCGAACGAUGAGUGUUUCAGAGAAAGGAUGCUUCCAAGUUUUGGGUGAUUACUCCCUUUUAGGUUGUACUUUAGAUAGACUUCUCUAGAUCUCUAGCCGUGUGUUUACUUUGGUGUAGCUGGCCAUACAGGAUCUUACAAAGAAUACGCUGGUCACGCAUACCUACUUGACUGAGCCAAUUCAGUUGGUGAUGUAUACAGCGAAUUCAUGUUGCAGAAGAAUUAAAUAACAAAAGAAAAUGAUUUGCACCACAGUGAAACACACACAACACGUAUACUAUAUGAAUUCAGUGCACUUUAUACGUAGAGGGAAUGAAAAUGCUAUAAAAUCCAUCAUAUAACACAUUAUCCAUAAAAUACAGCUAGAAAAAAUAAAGUCGUUUCUCAACCACAUGGCUUUGGGUUCAGUCCCACUGCGUGACAUCUUAAGCAAGUGACUUCUACUAUUGCCUCGGGCCGACCAAAGCCCUGUGAGGGAAUUUCAUGGACGCAAGCUGAAAGAAGCCCACCGUAUGUAUAUUUAUCUAUGUACGUGUAUCUCUGUGUCACUAUUUGUACCCCAUCACCUAUUGACAAAUGGUGUUGGUGUGUUUACGUCCCCGUAAUUCCGUGUGUAAAAAGUGACCGAUAGAAUAAAUACCAGGCUUUAAAGUCCUGGAGCCGAUUCAUUCCACUAAAACCCUUCCAGGUAGUGCCCCAGCAAGUCUGCAGUGUAAUGACUGAAAAACGUAAAGGUUAAACGUUAAAAGCAUAAGUAGUAAAGAAGCAUUGUCGCCGACAAGAACCCACAAAGGUGCUAGCCACGAAUAUAUUUCAGAUUAUAGGCGCAGGAGUGGCUGUGUGGUAAGUAGUAUGCUUACCAACCACAUUGUUUUGGGUUCAGUCCCACUGCGUGAAACCAUAGGCAAGUGUCUUCUACUAUAGCAUCGGGCCGACCAAAGCCUUGUGAAAUGAUUUGCUAGACGGAAACUAAAAGAAGCCCGUCGUAUAUAUAUAUAUAUAUAUAUAUAUAUAUAUAUGUAUGUAUGUGUGUGUAUAUGUUUCUGUGUCUGUGUUUGUCCGCCAGCAUCGCUUGACAACCGAUGCUGGUGUGUUUACGUCCUCGUAACAUAGCGGUUCGCCAAAAGAGACCGAUAGAAUAAGCACUAGGCUUACAAAGAAUAAGUCCUGGGAUCGAUUUGCACGACUAAAGGCGAUGCUUCAGCAUGGCCGCAGUCAAAUGAUUGAAACAAGUAAAAAGAGAGUAAGAGUUUCAAUGUAAACGUAACUAUUUUAAGUCUUAGGACUGAAACGCUUUCAUCGAAGAUAGACGUACAAAACUUAGACAAUGCGAUUGACAAUGCAUCUACCACAAGGGUUUACUGCUGCGGAUAUGUAGCAGAACACAAAAGCGAAAGCUGGUAGAAAAUAAUAGUUUAUUAUGCAAUCAUCGUAUAUGGAAUUCUCCGAAAACUAAUCUAAUAAAUUACCUAUACUAUCUCUUCUAAUAGGAUAAUGCAUACUAAAACCAACAUGUAUAUAGAUUAUUUUUGAAAGAAAACAGCAAACUAAAAUUUAAUACUAUAGCUGUAAUUAAUCCGGUGAGGAUAAUUGUACGAAAGCAUGCCGUUAAGAGUGCCAUUAUCACAAAUUCAUUUAGACGAUGUAAGCUUACAUAUCACAUAAUAUCAAGGUAUGAAAUACAUUUUUAAAGAAUUGAAUACAAACAACUUUAAAAUGAAAUAUAUGAUGAUUAGCAAAUUAGUAAAUUGGACAAAGCGGAAGUACAAUGGGGGCAUACGCUGUAACAGUGCGUCAACGCAUCCACCAUUUUCCUACAUCUGGUGGACGGCACUUUUGUACCAAUUAGGGGACAGCCCCGUAACAUAUGGGUUCAUUUGGGUAGUCGUUGAUGGAGAGAGUUUUUCCAUGUCAGAGUGCAAAUCCUAACCUAACCGCUUCUAGUCACUUUUUACGACACCCAGAGGAAACAUUGGGUCUGUUCUUUGACAUGUCGGUCCCUACACUGCACAAAUUUGAACACGGACAUGUUUUAAGCAAAAUAUAGUAAACUUUUUUACACACACACACAUACAUACCUAUGCGUGUGUACAUUUGACCAUAACAAUUUACAGUGCCUCAGAAACUGAUGAAAGAGAGGGGGGAGGAGGGGAGAGAUAGAGGGAGCGAUAAAGAGAGGGUGAGAGAGAGAGAGCGAAAGAGAGAAAGAGAGAGGAUAGCACCCUCAGAGCGGAGACCUGGUCCGAAUGCUUACGGCAUAUUAUAAUCAUCUCAACUCACUUAUGGUGAUUUCUAUUGGUAAUAAAUCAGUAUACGGACCAAAACUACAAGUAUUUAUAUUUGUGUGUGCGUACACACGCACAAACAUAUAUAAAGAGAGAGAUAGUGUGGGAGUGAGAAUGUGUACACAGACGCACAUAUACAUAUAUAUAUAUAUAUAUAUAUAUAUAUAUAUAUGUGUGUGUAUGUAUAUAUAGACAUAUAUAUCAACAUAAUCCAAGUUUAAUGUACUAAAUUGCAUUUUAUAUAUAUAUUGAUUUCAUGUUAGAUAAGUUCAAGUUUGCAUGAUAUGCGUGUACAUGUAUAUAUAUAUAUAUAUAUAUAUAUAUAUAUAUAUAUAUAUAUAUAUAUAUUAUAUAUAUAUGAACAUAUAUAUAUAUAUAUAUAUAUAUAUAUAUAUAUGUUCAUAUUUUAUGUGUGCUUGUGUCUGUGUGUGUGUGUAAAAUACACUCACUCACUCACACACACACACACACAAAUAUAUCAGAUAUAUUUAGAUAAAGAACAAUAGGCUGUUAGAAAAUAUGCUGAGGAGACUAAAAUAACAUCGAAACGUUUUUUUCGCUUUGGCAUAUAUCCCCUACCCUAUGAAAAAAAUUAAAAAAACCUUCCAGCCGAAUACUUGUUUUUUUACCAAAAAUAAAUAUAUAAAAUAAAAUGAAAUAAACAGAGGUGCAAAAAUCCCUCAGAGCAAAAGGAUCCCUAAAAUAAUAAAAAAUAUCAUGAAGCAAAAGACAAACAGAUAACAACUAUGUUUUAUGCAUCUAACAUACAUGUUGGUGCGUGACAUUAAGACAUAAUUUUCAGUAAAGAUGGAAUAGGGAUCUUAAUAGAUUUGUCAUUACGCUUUUGAAUAUUAGAAAAGAAAGCACUAUUUAUUUAUAUGUUAACUGGAAGCCAAAUCUUAGCAUUUUAGCAUUUCACUAGCUUCAUGACAAUAAUAUCAUGGCAGAAAUUUUCUGACAUCAAAAAAAAAAAUGAAGUUUUCAAAUUAUAUAUUUAAUAUCUAACAACUACAUUCUUAAGAUCGGGUACAACUUCACGCGAACAUAAACACGCGCACCACAUAUACACGAGCGUAUAUAUACACGCACACUAGAAACACAUGCAUAAUCGCGGAUGCAAAAAUGCUCACCUUGUAUAUUAUAAUUACAUAAAAAACAUAUUUUUGUAAAUAUUUCUAUGUCGAUGUAUAGUUUAUAUCAAUCCUACACACUAACAAUCGCAAGUACGUUCAUCAUCAUAUAAGCUACAAAUAUACCUCCUUCCUCUCACUCUCUCUCUCUCACACACACACACACCCAUAUAUACACCCGUACAUAAUAACUCCCACACAAUACAAGUACAUAUAUUUCAUUCGAAGCACGACUUUCUGUUUUACAAAAUUAUGUUUGUUUAUUUUCUAUUCUGAACUUUUUGGCAUAUAAUAGAGAUUGUUUGAAAGUUUAUGCAUAUCUCUUUCACUCGUUGGCACAAGAUCACAAGAUGUCUAACUAUUCAUGGUCAUGUGAUUAAUAACUUAGGUUCACACUCAUAAUUCAUUCGAGCAUGACUGCCAGAGAUAUACAUUUUGAACCUGCAAUAUGCUAACGUACAAGCAAAAAACAAAUAACAAACAACAACAGCUUCUUCGUGGCUGUGUGGUAAGUAGCUUGCCUACCAACCACAUGGUCCCAAGUUCAGUCCCACUGCACCUUGGGCAGGUGUCUUCUACUGUAGCCUCAGGCCAACCAAAGCCUUGUGAGUGGAUUUGGUAGACGGAAACUGAAAUAUAUAUAUAUAUAUAUAUAUAUAUAUAUAUAUGUGUGUGUGUGUGUGUGUGUGCGUGUAUCUCUGUUUGUCCCCCCAACAUCGGCAAAAGGGACCGAUAGAAUAAGUACUAGGCUUACAAAGAAUAAGACCUGUGAUCGAUUUGCUCGACUAAUGACGGUGCUCCAGCAUGGCCUCAGUCAAAUUAUUGAAACGAGUAAAAGAAUAAAGGAAUAAUCAGAAAAAAGGGCAGUGCCCAGUGAAUUUGUAUAUCUUCUCAGAUAAUGUAUCUUCACUUGUAUAGGCAGACCCACGUAAGAAGUGAAGAGUGGAAGGUACUCCUGUAUGUAAAAUUUCUUUCUCCACAUCAUACAUACAUCUAAAGUGUAGCGUCCCCAUCUUCGGCCGAUAUAGGUUAAAAUCAGUCGAAUUACAGGCGUUGUUAUCAAAACCCAGCGACCAAAUAUGUCAGGGCAUAUUUUCCAACACUCGAAUUAAAGUCCUGCUCAGAAUUCUCAGAUUUUAUCGACGUUGAAGGGAUGGAAGUCAAUGUUCACUUCAGAACAAAAUAAACUCGAAGAACUCUGUCCAUUUCUCUAACGAUUCCAUGAAUUUAACGCUUUCAGCUCUCGAAAACUAGUGAGAUCAUCGUGAUCCAUGACAGUCUGAAUUUUUGCCGAUCAAUAACCGCAGUAAAAAACGGAGGUAUAGAAAAAAAUCGAUAGUCUGUUUCGAAUUUUACUAAAGAGUAAAUCCUGCUAAAAUUAUCAAAAGAACAACUAGUGGUGUUUGGUAGUAUUAAAUCCAGUGGAGUGUUAGUCAGGGAUAAGUAAAAACAAAUACAAGGAAAGCAAAAGUUUUCACAUACUUUUUCUUACUCGUAGAGACAGAACAUGAAACAAUUUUCCACUAAAGGAAGUUAAGUAUUUUUUUAGAGAAAUAUUGGAAUAUCAAAAUACGUUAGCAUUUGAAGCAUAGUUUAAUGUAUCUUUUCAAGAUUAAAAUUAUUGGAACCAAUAUACUAUCAUACACAAACAUGCGUACACGCGCACCUCACAUACAUACAUACAUACAUACAUACAUAGUACUACGUACAUACAUACGUACAUAUAUAUACAUGCAUACGUACAGGCAUACAUAAGUACAUACAGACAUACCUACAUACAUACAUACGUACGUCCGUACGUAGUACAAACAUACAUACAUACGUGCAUACAUACAUACGUACAUAUAUACAUGCAUACAUACAUAACUUUAUUUCCCCAUGAGUGUGUAUGUAUACAUAUGCAUGUGUGUUUCCGUGUGCAUGCAAUUUCUUAAAUAUUUCGCAGGAUUUAUUUAUUAUUAUUUAUUUAUUCAUUUAUAUAUUAUUUAUUUAUUUCACAUAUCUACUGUGAAAAUAUUUUAGAGAAUUUGUAAGUUUGAGGAGAAACUUAAGUAAUUUAAUUUUCAGAUGUAUAUGUGUAAAAAUGAAAAUGAUCAGUCAUUAGAAAUACAUACUCACAUACAUACAUAUAUACAUACAUGCAUACAUACAUACAUGCAUACAUACAUACAUACAUACAUACAUACAUACAUACAUACAUACAUACACACAUGUAUGUAUGUAUGUAUAUAUGGAUGUGGUGAUGGAAACAAGAACAGGGAACCCAAACAUAUAAUUUUUUUAUCAUUCAUAACUGGCAAAAGUUUUGGAGUGACGCUGGCAGGUAUUAGUGCCAACGGGCGAAACUCUCGGUUCCUGAGCCACUCUCCAACUUUUGCACGUUAUUAAUAACACACAUACAAGCACACACACACACAUACGUUCGUGGUUGUGUGCUAAGACGUUUGCUUCAUAACCACUUGUCUCCGGGUUCAGCCCCAAUGCGUUGCACCUUGGGCAAGUAUCUUCUGCUAUAGCUUCGGGUCGAUCAAAAUUUUUGGGUGGAUUUGUUGGUCAGAAACUGAAAGAUGCCCGUCGAGUAUAUGCGUGCGUAUGUGUGUGUGUGUGUGUGUGUGUGUGUGUGUGUGUGUGUGUGUGUGCGCGCGUGUGUGUGUGUGAGAGAGAGAGGGAGGGAGAGAGAUUUCACAUGCCUCGAAGGUCAACUUUGCCUUUCAUCUUUUGGAGGUCGAUCAAAUACCAGCUCAGCUUAAGAGUCGAUUCUUCUCUCUCAUUCUCUCUCUCUCUAUCUCUAUCGCUCUCUCUCUCUCUCUCUCUCUCUCUCUCUCUCUCUCAGUCCCUCUCACUUGCUUUUCUCUCCCAGCUUUUCACUUGCUUUUCUCUCAAAUGCCCUACCUAUCAGUCUAUCGCUCUCUGAAACCAUGCACACUCUCUCUCUUUCUCUAUCGCUCAAUCUCUGUAUUCUGCCUUAAUCUAAAGUCCAGCCUUAGUAUUCUGUGCAACUCAGAUUUGUUCGGGAAUUACGUUAAAAAUACACGCAUCUCAAAAAUAUCCAACCGUUUAUUUGUAAAUUUUACGAAGAAUAAAUCAACGAGUGAAAUAAUCGAAUGCUUAUCAUGGAGGAUGAGGGAGAUUUAAUAAUGCUUAUAGUUUAUUGUAUAAUAUAUUCAGGAAUAUUUUACAAUUCAUCAACUGUAGAACCAGAAACGGCUGUGGAGUUAAGAAGCUCGCUUUUACAACCACUUGCUUUUGAGUUCAGUCCCAUGUUGCGGCACCAUGGGCAAGUGUCUUCUGAUAUAGUUCUAGAUGAAAGAACGCCUUGUGAAUGAAUUUGACAGAAGGAAGUUGGGUGGAAGCUUAUCUUUGUAUAUAUAUGUAUAUAUAUAUAUAUAUAUAUAUAUAUAUAUAUAUAUAUAUAUAUAUAUAUACAUACAUAUAUGUAUACACACACAUACAUACAUACAUACAUAUAUAUAUAUAUAUAUCGAUAGAUAGAUAGAUAGAUAGAUAGAUAGAUAGAUAGACAUGUGCGCGUGUUGGGUCUGUGUGUUUGACCGUACCGCUGCUUGACAAACGAUGACGUGCUUGUAGCCUAGCGGUUCGGCAAAAAUAGACAGAUGAAGUAUGUGCUAGACUUAAAAAUAGUAGCGGGUUGAUUUGUUCGAAUGAAAUCUUUCAAUGCGGUACUCCAGCAUGGACGCAGUCCAAUAACUAAAGCAAGUAAGAGGUAAAAUAUAUAAGAUAUCUGAACAUCAAGAUAUUUUUGCCGUUUGGUCACUUUCAGAAUUAUACAGUCACCCAUAGUAUAAGCACCGCUGGUAUAACACAGAAAAAAAAAUUGAAUAAGGAAUAUAGCUUUAAGAAUGUUAUUUUGUGUUCUAUUCAAAUUCACAGCAAAGAAGGAGUGAUUUAAAUGCCUUGAAAAAAUGUAUGCUUAAAUUUUAUAUUCCCUAGUUCAAUCUCCCCAGUAUAAACGAAUAAGUUUUCUGUUUCCCCUUCAGAACCGUUAAAAAUAUAUAGUAUAUUGAAAUAGGUGUAAUCAAGUACUCUUUCGUAUUCUUUCUUUAUUUUUUACGUGACAACGCCUAGUUGAGUUAACGAAAACAUGAUUAUAACAGACACAAGCCUUGGCAUGCAUGCGGCUGCUGAUUGUGACUGAACUGAAUAUGUGAACGAGAGUUGAGAAGAAUUUUGCUGCCACCCUGACCGUCCUGCUAGCAAGUCGCUCUGACACGACUCAGACAUGGCAUUUCCAGUCUGAAUUAAAUAUUUACAGCACCAUAAGGAUUUUCUAUCAUCCUACAGGAAGCAUCGUACGAUGUCAUCCAUUUAAAGCAGUCGACCUGUCUUAAUGAUACUGACAGAUUCAUUUCGGCUGUCAACGAGCAGGUGCACAAAUACAGUAUUGUUUUAUAAUAACUAUUAAAAGCGGCGAUGUUUGCGUCUAUGAAAUGCGAAAAUGUUUGGAUGCUGGCCGGGAUAUUGAAACAUGACUGACUUUAGUUCCAGCAGAAGAAAAUUCAAAAAACAAAACAAAACAAAAGAGAAGGACGAGCCAAACUAUUAUCAAAAGACACAGGGAUGUUGCAUACACGCACAUGCUAACCUAGGCUCGCUUACAGAAACGCUUACAGACAAACUCACGAAGGUAAAUAUACGAGUUCAAAUUUCUUAAAAUCGGAGUGCCGUUUUUUUCUACAUGGAAACUUGGAUCGAUAUAAAAUAAGUGAAUCUCUGAAGUGAGAGAUUUGGAUUAUUUAAGGUAGUGGAAUAUCCUUGACUCUUUAGAACAGUAUUCUCUCCCUAUUUUAUCUUUAUAUAUAUAUAUAUAUUUAUAUAUAUUAGAAGGUUUGGAGGUGUUGUACAGGUAUUAUAUAUUAGAAGAAAUAAGGUACUCAGAAAUCUGGAUGGUUUUUAUACUUACAGAUUUUUAUUAAUAUGUCAUGUUUUUAUAAAUCAUAUAUUAGCGCUUCCAUCCACUCUAGUACAUUCUUCAUAUAUAUAUAUAUAUAUAUAUAUAUAUAUAUAUAUAUAUAUAUAUAUAUAUAUAUAUAUAUAUAUAUGUAUAUAUAUGUAUGUAUAUAUAUAUAUAUAAUAUAUAUAUAUAUACAAGGUUGGCCAAAAGUCACCCGAGUGUAAAUCAAAAUUCUAUAAAUACUAUCUGUAAUUCUGUAUUGACUCAAAUUUCAAAAAAAUUGUCGCUCUAGAAGGACUUCAGUUUGAACAAUUUUCAUGAUGUUUCAGAUUUAAAUGCUCUUAUUAGAUUCAUUCAGUUCUUGAGCAUGAAUAUAUAUUGGAAUUAAAUAGUUUUUAUAUACUGUCAGGUGACUUAUUAAAUUUCUUUAGGUAAACACACACAUAUACACACACGCGGCCAUUCACCAACAUGUGCACACACACAUAUACAUGUACAUAUAUAUUAUAAAUAUAAACAUUUAUAUAUAUAUAUAUAUAUAUAUAUAUAUAUAUAUAUAUAUAUACGCAUAUAUGACCCAGCAUUGCCGCAGUGUAAUGACAGUGUGAAACAAGUAUAUAUAUAUAUAUAUAUAUAUAUAUAUAUAUAAGAUUAAAAUCGAUAGAGGAACUCACAGAAAAAUUGCACACACGAUGUGGACAUGCUCCUCCCUCGUUACUCAUCGUCAGAAAGUCAUAACAAUAUCUCGUCUUUGUUUCAGUCAUAACUUAUCCAAGGCAGCGAGCUGGCAGGGUCGUUAGCACGCCGGACAAAACGCUCAGUGCUUUCUGCGUUUAAUUUCAGCCGAGAUCAACUUUGGCUUACAUCCUUCCGGUCUCGAUGAAAAAUGUACCAGUUGAAUAUUGGGUCGAAAUUGCUAACCUUCUGCCAAAAUUUGAAACUAUUAUUAUUAUUAUUAUUAUUAUUAUUAUUAUUAUUAUUAUUAUUAUUAUUAGUAUUAGUAGUAGUAGUAGUAGUAGUAGUAGUAGUAGUAGUAGUAGUACUAUUUAGUGAGAGAGCAGUGCAUGCCAUCAAAGUGACACUGGGGUAAAAUAUACGAAGCCCAGUAUACCCAUCAUGACUACCCGUCUGAUAAGGGUACACCAGGCACAUGCAUCACAUGCGUGGCAUGGGGAUCUCAUAUCAAGAUAAACAACACAUGACCUUGCAGGUGAAGCUCAGUUAGAAUUUUCUUCUGGUCGAGUAACCCAUCCCGCUCAAAAGGUCCCUGAAUAAGGGUUGCUUUCUCUAUGUACAAGUUGACUUCAAGUCUCACCCAGAGAGGUCCAAGUUGGUGUUAUGCCUACGGUGUCAUAUAUUUGGUUUUGUACAUAGUAUUGUUCUAGAAAAUGUUUAAGAAAACGUAAGAAAAUUAGGAGUUUGUUUUAAAAUUUGAGAUGACAUAGACAGUAAUUUACGUAGGAUACGGGUAUUUUCCAUGAGCACUAUCUUUUGAACUUCUGCCAUUUUUGUGGUUUCCUCGUAUCUGAGUUAGGUAUCAACCAGGCCCUUUUCUAUCAUUCCUAAGGCACCUAUGACAACAUGUAUUAUUUUAGUCUUCAGGUUUCACAUUUUACCAGUUUCUAUUUCAAGAUCUUUAUAUUUGCUCAGUCUUUGGUAGGUCUGGACAAAUAUAUUUAUGUCAAUUGGCACAGUCAUAUCAAUGAGGAGGCAUGAUUUUGUCUGAAGUUUUUCAAUAUAAUAUCUGACCUAUUCGCAUCUAUCUUUUUGUCAGUUUGAACAGUGAAAUUCCAGAUGAGUGAGAUGUUGUCAUUUUCAAGCGCUGGAGGUGAUUUGUGCUCCCUACAGUUUUUAUCAUGAGACAGGUCCAGGUUCUUGCAAAUUACCCAGUGAAUAUACUGUGCAGCUCUAUCAUGCCUGUUGAGAUACUCUGUAGGCGCAAGAAGACUCCACAUGGAGACGUGAUCAAUGGUUUCAUCUUUUUGUUUAUAUACACGACAUGUUGGGCUACUGCUGUUCUUUUAUAUGUUGGCUUGGUUGCUCCUUGUAGGUAGGCAUUGAUCUUGGCUGCUAUGAUAAACCCCUUUGUUUCUGAUUUUAGGCCAGAAGACACUGCAAUUUAUUAUUAAAAAUAUCUAAGGCAGCAGUUUUAGCAUGUGAUAUUUUACGUUUAGCUUUUUAAGUGCUCGAUUCCAGUACGUCUUAUUCUGAGAUUUGUUGUAUUUGGAGUUCAGUCAGAUAUUCCUUUGCCUGUUUUGUUACUGCGUAUGAUGCUUUCUUGUUUUCAUGCUUUAAAACAAGUUUUAACAUCUAGUCCUCAGAGUUUUUCCAGUAGGUGCUGAGGCCAAUUGUGGUCCACAGCCACCCUCUUUUCUUAGCAGGUAAAGUCGUUCUUUAUCUGCCUUAGGCUGGUGCAUUCUAUGUAUUGUCAACAAUUUUCGUAUUUUUCGGUCAAUGUUACAUAUUAAUUAUCAUUUUAGUAGUGGUAGCAGCAGCAGCAGCAGUUGUAGUAGUGGUAAUAGUAGUAGUAGUAGUAGUAGUAGUAGUAGUAGUAGUAGUAGUAGUAGUAGUAGUAGUAGUAGUAGCGUUAACAUCUAGGCUAUCCUUAUAUUACUAAAACUAUGAUCAAUAAAAGCCAUUUUCUCAAGUACAUUGGAAGUAGGCGCCCAUGUUACCCCAAGCAAAUAUGACAUUUUAAAGACAGCAGUCAUCUGCAAUUCGAGAAAGGUUUCGCUGCUAUUUAUAGAAAAUAAAGCUACCAAUUAAAAUCUGUCUUGUGUCGAUAGUUCUUAGGUUUUAUUCCGGUUGUUUUAACUCCAAAUCAAACCUGAUCAACCAUAAUAAUGAUUAAAGGCUUUACAGGCUGUUCACCCCAUAUUUUAGGGUUGUGUAGCAUUACGUAAUGCUUCUUUUCCUAUUUUAAGACAACGGGAUUUUAUUUGUUAUUAAGAGAAAGAGAAAGAGAGAGAGCGAUAUAUAUAUAUAUAUAUAUAUAUAUAUAUAUAUAUAUAUAUGAAAUAUGACGAGUUUAGUUCGCUU
rnacentral:lncRNA from 1 species